GGGGGAUAUUGCGCAAUGGGGGAAACCCUGACGCAGCAACGCCGCGUGAAGGAAGAAGGCCUUCGGGUCGUAAACUUUUGUCUUCUGGGACGAAACAUGACGGUACCAGAGGAGGAAGCCACGGCUAACUACGUGCCAGCAGCCGCGGUAAUACGUAGGUGGCGAGCGUUGUCCGGAAUUACUGGGUGUAAAGGGCGCGUAGGCGGGACUGCAAGUCAGAUGUGAAAUACCGGGGCUCAACCCCGGGGCUGCAUUUGAAACUGUAGUUCUUGAGUGCAGGAGAGGAAAGCGGAAUUCCUAGUGUAGCGGUGAGAUGCGUAGAGAUUAAGAGGAACACCAGUGGCGAAGGCGGCUUUCUGGACUGUAACUGACGCUGAGGCGCGAAAGCGUGGGGAGCGAAC
rnacentral:rRNA from 1 species